rnacentral:rRNA from 1 species
GAUAGCCGCGGAUGCUUACACAGGCAGUCGUAACGGCAGCACGGGUGCUUGCACCUGGUGGCGAGUGGCGAACGGGUGAGUAAUACAUCGGAACAUGUCCUGUAGUGGGGGAUAGCCCGGCGAAAGCCGGAUUAAUACCGCAUACGAUCUACGGAUGAAAGCGGGGGACCUUCGGGCCUCGCGCUAUAGGGUUGGCCGAUGGCUGAUUAGCUAGUUGGUGGGGUAAAGGCCUACCAAGGCGACGAUCAGUAGCUGGUCUGAGAGGACGACCAGCCACACUGGGACUGAGACACGGCCCAGACUCCUACGGGAGGCAGCAGUGGGGAAUUUUGGACAAUGGGCGAAAGCCUGAUCCAGCAAUGCCGCGUGUGUGAAGAAGGCCUUCGGGUUGUAAAGCACUUUUGUCCGGAAAGAAAUCCUUGGCUCUAAUACAGUCGGGGGAUGACGGUACCGGAAGAAUAAGCACCGGCUAACUACGUGCCAGCAGCCGCGGUAAUA